CCGGUUUACUUGCGCAUCACCCAAAAUGUCUGUUUUUACUCGAUGUCUCCAGAAUCUUCCGAAAAUACGCGUCAGCGAUGUUCAUCGCAUUGUUGAUGCCUGGUCCCCUGCUCCGACAAGCAAGAGGGACAAGGGCUUUAAACUCUACAUAUCGAGUUAUCUGCACAACUACAAGGGUGACAGCGGCUCACUUCAAGAGCAGGUGAAGCAAGUUGGGACAAUGUUGAAGACAUUUGCUCGCACUGGGCAAUCGGGUACAACUUGCAAACAACACCUGUGGUUGUUGGUUUAAUUCCCACUGGGGCCACCUGUACAUGUAGUAGACCUAGAUAUAAAUGUCAUAGUUUAGUAGUUGAAGGACCAGGACUGACUACUUUAUUCUUUUAUUCUGGGAACCCCUGUAGGUGCAGAUCAAACCCUAAUGCUGCGACGUCUUGGAGUUUGGCGAUGUUGUGCGUAGCAUGGACAACAAAAUGCUAUGCUGCAACAUUUCAGUGCCAAUGUGUCUGUUGGAGAGUUAUCCCUGCCAGGGGAUCUGUUACUCCCCCCUAGACACCCAGGAAGAUUUGGUGUUGCUUGACAACAGUUUGAGGCAGGAUAAAGAGCUCCAACAACGAUUUCUUCGGUUUUUGGCAAUCAAAUGUGGGAGGGACCUAAGGACAACCGUGUGGCGAAUGCUUCAGAGUGUCUUCUCUAAUCACCUUUCCAUCAAUACAACCUGGACUGGUGUAGGGGGAUAAAGCAUGUUUUAGAGACAUGUUCCUGAAGACCAUUGUUCAAAGAGCCAUCCGGAAGAACCCGGCAACCCAGCAUGCCACUGAUGAGGCGAUCCAGGUUAACGUUACGCGUUACCUGAAAGGAGCAUCUGAACAUGAAGGUGGAAAAAGGCGCCGCACAGCUGAGAGGGACCCACAGCCGACCCCUUAAACCUAGGCUGACUACUGACACCCCAGCAUCACUGACAACUGGAACCCUUUCUUUAUCCUGCAGUCAGUAACAUCAAGACCCCUAAAAAAGCCUGCUAAAAGUGUCAGACUACACUCACCCAAUCCACACUGUUCACUGUUGAAAUUGCUUUUUUUUUUUUUUUUUCUUUUCUCUCGUGACCCUGCUUUUAGGGCAGCUCCUUGGAUGAAUAUGGGAUGGUUUGUCCUUUUAUACAGGCGCAUGAGGAAUCACUGAAGAUAUGUCAAUUUGCACUGCCUCAUUCUGGAGGUCGGGGAAAACCGGUGAUUCUUAGCCCACUACGCCACACAGUCCCCAACCUCUCCAGACAUUCUGAUUGGCUGUGUUCUCUACAGCCAGAUUUUCUGCUGUUAAUUAUAUUUAUUCCCACGUGUUGUCAUGUGUAAGUUGAAUGUCAAAAUGUAUAUUAUACCUGUUAUCCUGCACAUUCCUUGAUACCAAAGAUCUCAAUUAUUUCAUAUACAAUGUGCUGCUUAUUUCAU